rnacentral:rRNA from 1 species
CCUACGGGUGGCAGCAGUGAGGAAUAUUGGUCAAUGGACGAGAGUCUGAACCAGCCAAGUAGCGUGAAGGAUGACUGCCCUAUGGGUUGUAAACUUCUUUUAUAAAGGAAUAAAACGAGGCACGUGUGCCCUUUUGCAUGUACUUUAUGAAUAAGGAUCGGCUAACUCCGUGCCAGCAGCCGCGGUAAUACGGAGGAUCCGAGCGUUAUCCGGAUUUAUUGGGUUUAAAGGGAGCGUAGAUGGGUUGUUAAGUCAGUUGUGAAAGUUUUCGGCUCAACCGUAAAAUUGCAAGUGAUACUGGCAGUCUUGAGUACAGUUGAGGUAGGCGGAAUUCGUGGUGUAGCGGUGACAUGCUUAGAUAUCACGAAGAACCCCGAUUGCGAAGGCAGCUUACUAAACUGUGACUGACAUUGAUGCUCGAAAGUGUGGGUAUCAAACAGGAUUAGAUACCCGUGUAGUC